AGUGGCGAACGGGUGAGUAACACGUGAGCAACCUGCCCCGAAGACCGGGAUAACAGUGGGAAACCGCUGCUAAUACCGGAUACCCCCAACGGACCACAUGGUCUGAUGAGGAAAUGGAUUCCGCUUCGGGAGGGGCUCGCGGCCAUCAGCUUGUUGGUGGGGUAACGGCCUACCAAGGCUUCGACGGGUAGCUGGUCUGAGAGGACGAUCAGCCACACUGGGACUGAGACACGGCCCAGACUCCUACGGGAGGCAGCAGUAGGGAAUCUUGCGCAAUGGGCGAAAGCCUGACGCAGCAACGCCGCGUGAGGGAUGGAGGCCUUCGGGUUGUAAACCUCUUUCAGCAGGGACGAUUGUGACGGUACCUGCAGAAGAAGCCCCGGCCAACUACGUGCCAGCAGCCGCGGUAAUACGUAGGGGGCGAGCGUUGUCCGGAAUCAUUGGGCGUAAAGAGCUCGUAGGCGGUUUGGUAAGUCGGGUGUGAAACCUCCAGGCUCAACCUGGAGAUGCCACUCGA
rnacentral:rRNA from 1 species